UACGUAGGGGGCUAGCGUUGUCCGGAAUCAUUGGGCGUAAAGAGCGCGCAGGCGGUCGAUCAAGUCGAGUGUGAAAGCCCCCGGCUCAACUGGGGAGGGUCAUUCGAUACUGAUCGACUCGAAGGCAGGAGAGGGUAGUGGAAUUCCCGGUGUAGUGGUGAAAUGCGUAGAUAUCGGGAGGAACACCAGUGGCGGAAGGCGGGUCGUCUGGGCCGAGUACUGACGCUGAGGAGCGAAAGCGUGGGGAGCGAACGAGG
rnacentral:rRNA from 1 species